CAAAGCUAGCGAGCCGGCGCGCGAAAAAGGUCGUGGCUUGGAUUAAUUCAUAAUACGAUUUGCAUUUUGUCUUUUACCAAGAAAGUUUUGUGACGUUUUUAUUGCGAUUUUUUUUGGGUAUUAGCAGCGUGAUCACGAAUUCAUGAUGGAUUAAUAGAUGAUAUUUUCUCCACAUAAUUUGUUUGGUUUUGUCAUUAAGCUUUGUUUUAUGGUUUCGCUGAGAUUGGCUUUUCAUUUUCUUCAGAAUAUUUAAUUUUCGAUUAUGCGCAGGCGAAGUGAUUGCAACGUUGUCAUCUCUGUUCCAAACUUUGUCAAAAGCUUUUAUCUUUUUGCAAAUGUUUGCC
rnacentral:lncRNA from 1 species